UACGUAGGGGGCAAGCGUUGUCCGGAAUCAUUGGGCGUAAAGAGCGUGUAGGCGGCCAGAUAAGUCCGCUGUGAAAUCUCGAGGCUCAACUUCGAGCUGUCGGUGGAAACUGUCUGGCUAGAGUCCGGAAGAGGAGAAUGGAAUUCCUGGUGUAGCGGUGAAAUGCGCAGAUAUCAGGAAGAACACCCGUGGCGAAGGCGGUUCUCUGGGACGGUACUGACGCUGAGGCGCGAAAGCCAGGGGAGCGAACGGG
rnacentral:rRNA from 1 species